ensembl:snoRNA
CCCCGCUCCAUUUUAGUAACGUUCCAUUAUAUAAAAAUACUACAUCCUGUGGACAAAUAAAAACUGGGGGCAAAGAAAUGAGGAUUUGGAGAGAUCUGGGGCCAGCUUGCUCCCGCAGGCUCAAGAUCAGCUGUACCACAUGA